UACGUAGGGGGCUAGCGUUGUCCGGAAUCAUUGGGCGUAAAGAGCGUGUAGGUGGCUUGAUAAGUCUGCUGUGAAAGUCCAGGGCUCAACCCUGGAAUGCCAGUGGAAACUGUCAGGCUAGAGUCCGGAAGAGGCGAGUGGAACUCCUGGUGUAGCGGUGAAAUGCGCAGAUAUCAGGAAGAACACCAAUGGCGAAGGCAGCUCGCUGGGACGGUACUGACACUGAGACGCGAAAGCGUGGGGAGCAAACAGG
rnacentral:rRNA from 1 species